GGUGUAACAGUCCAUUCUGGCAAAUUGCUCUCGGAUGCGCUCACUCAAGCACGGCUCAUAUCGGUGGGGUCCUGAGGAAAUACUAUUCAUGGGAACAGCAGAAGAAGUCCCUAGAAGUGCUGGAGACCCACAGCAGAGGACAGAGUGAAGAAACAUCUCUGAGCCCCCCACACAAGAGGCAGGGAGGAUUUGGCUGCUCUCCGCUCUGUUUGGCAGCCAGCAAGCACACAUGCAUGAGGUUAGGUUCAGAAAUUUGACCGAUGAUCUUCUCCUGUGCUGGUUGGAAAACACUCAUCUGUUAUCCACAGCUUUAAAAAGGAAGAUGCAUAGACAUCUUUUGGCACAACACUGAGGGAAGUUGCUCCUUCAGUAUCUAUCAGGUGCCUCCUUAAUCACAGGAAAGCUGUUCCAGGAGGUGAUUC
rnacentral:lncRNA from 1 species